GGGUGUGGUUCGGCUUAUUUUUUUUUUUAAUCAGGUCCAAAGUUGGGGUCGGACACCCUACCCCACCCAUACGGAAAAGUUAAUAAAAAAUUCCCUACGGCAAUACUUUUUUCCGCACUAGGUGCAAAGUGAAGCUGAGUAGCUGAGGUUUACUUCAGAAAAAAUCCAGGGUGUGGUUCGGCUUAGUUUUUUUUUUAAUCAGGUCCAAAGUUGGGGUCGGACACCCUACCCCACCCAUACGGAAAAGUUAAUAAAAAAUUCCCUACGGCAAUACUUUUUUCCGCACUAGGUGCAAAGUAAAGCUGAGUAGCUGAGGUUUACUUCAGAAAAAAUCCAGGGUGUGGUUCGGCUUAGUUUUUUUUUUAAUCAGGUCCAAAGUUGGGGUCGGACACCCUACCCCACCCAUACGGAAAAGUUAAUAAAAAAUUCCCUACGGCAAUACUUUUUUCCGCACUAGGUGCAAAGUGAAGCUGAGUAGCUGAGGUUUACUUCAGAAAAAAUCCAGGGUGUGGUUCGGUUUAGUUUUUUUUUUAAUCAGGUCCAAAGUUGGGAUCGGACACCCUACCCCACCCAUACGGAAAAGUUAAUAAAACAUUCCCUACGGCAAUAC